AUACGGAAGGUCCGAGCGUUAUCCGGAUUUAUUGGGUUUAAAGGGUGCGCAGGCGGGAGAUUUAGUCGGCGGUGAAAUUUUUCAGCUCAACUGGAAAAGUGGCUUCGAAACUGGUUUUCUUGGGUGUAGAUGAAGUAAGUGGAAUUUUUGGGGUAGCGGUGAAAUGCGUAGAUAUCACGAGGAACUCCGAUUGCGCAGGCAGCUUACUAAACUACUACUGACGCUCAGGCACGAAGGCGUGGGGAUCAAACAGGAUUAGAUACCCUGGUAGUCCACGCAGUAAACGAUGAUUACUAGCUGUUUGCGAUACAAUGUAAGCGGCUGAGCGAAAGCGUUAAGUAAUCCACCUGGGGAGUACGUUCGCAAGAAUGAAACUCAAAUGAAUUGACGGGG
rnacentral:rRNA from 1 species